GUUCAUUGUAGGAAUAGAAUAUGUAUCUAGAUGAGAUCUAUCGAUCUUAGUAGAAAAAGAAGAAGUUCUAUACGAUUCACGAGAUCGAGUUCAGAAAGUCUUUGGCCAAAGUAAGUGUGAAUACUGAAAAAGAGUUUUCAUGAGAAUUCACAAGUGAACUCGAGUCGAGCCAUUCUUGCAUAUGACAGACAAUGGGAUUUGACGAGUUUUUCAUAACCUCUGUUUAGUCG
rnacentral:lncRNA from 1 species